AGGACGAACGCUGGCGGCGUGCUUAACACAUGCAAGUCGAGCGGAAAGGCCCUUCGGGGUACUCGAGCGGCGAACGGGUGAGUAACACGUGAGUAACCUGCCCUGGACUUUGGGAUAACCCUCGGAAACGGGGGCUAAUACCGGAUACGACUUCUGACCGCAUGGUUGGUGGUGGAAAGUUUUUCGGUCUGGGAUGGGCUCGCGGCCUAUCAGCUUGUUGGUGGGGUGAUGGCCUACCAAGGCGACGACGGGUA
rnacentral:rRNA from 1 species